UCUUUAGUAAGUGGUAUCCCAUAGCAAUCCUAUUGAUUCAGUGAAAGUAGAAUAUUUUGAUGUUUAUUAAAAAUUAUUACGAAAUCCAACUUGAAUUAAUCGGUCAAACUUCUAAAUAUAGCAUUUUUUUGAAACAGCAUUUUUUAAGCUGGUGUCUUUAUUAUUUUUGAAA